rnacentral:sRNA from 1 species
GAGCAGAUGGUAGACGUGUUCCAUGCUGUGUAUGCACUCCAGAUGCACCGGCCCCUCAUGAUCCAGACCCUUAGCCAGUAUGUCUUCCUGCACAGCUGCCUACUGAACAAGAUUCUGGAAGGGCCCUUCAACAUCUCUGAGUCUUGGCCCAUCUAUGUGACGAACUUCCCGCGGGCGUGUGCCAAGAGGACAGCCAAUGCCAGCGCUGGCUUCUUGAAGGAGUACGAGCUCUUGCUGCAGGCCAUCAAGGACGAGGCUGGCCCUUCCGCACCCCUGCCUGGCUAUGAGCAGGACAGCCCCGUCUCCUGGUGGGCCUUCUGGCUGUGAUCAUAUGGUGCUGACUGGCCUCGCAGGGCCAGAGGAGCUCUGGGAGCUGGUGUGGCAGCACGGGGCUCAUGUGCUUGUCUAUCUGUGCCCACCCGAUGCCAUGGAGAAGGUACCUCAUCCAACUCUAGGUCAGUUGCAGCAAGGGUGCCACCCAGCUGGGCACCUUCCUGGCCAUGGAGCAGCUGCUGCAGCAGGUAGGGUCUGAGUGCACCGUGGAUGUCUUUAACGUGGCCCUGCAGCAGUCUCAGGCCUGUGGCCUUAUGACCCCAACGCUGCAGCAGUAUAUCUACCUCUACAACUGUCUGAACAGUGCGCUGGCAGACGGGCUGCCCUGAGUCGGCACUGGUCACUGUGCAGGAGAGGUUUGUGCCCUGUGGGAUGGGGACAGCAUUCCUGACACAUCCACGUGGGCCUGGGCUCCCCGGAAGGGCGGCCUCCACUGGGCCCUGUGCUGCAAAGGUAAAGGGUCUUGGAAUAAAGACCUGUGGCCAAG